AUCUCACUACUCUGAGAUGAUCCCCCGACUCUUAGCCCGAUGAUAAGCGACGGCCGAUCACACAGCUUAGGCAGGGAUCCAAACCAAUCCUCAGUUAGUUGUCGGUUAACUGCCAAGCAGGCAAUACGCGCAAGUGUCCCAGUAGUGAGUCAAAGUAGAGUGUCGCAGUACAAAUCGCCUGACCGACGGAAAACCAAAAAAUUGGUAAAUUAGGAAAGUGGAGUGAGACAGUAGAUGCGGUGCAGUGUAGUGGGUGUUUUGUAAAGCCCUAGGGCCAGAAACCCUACAGAAACGAGUUUCGGUAAUGUUGUGCCUGCACCGGGAAUCCGCGAUAAUGGAGUAGUGUGGAUGUGCUAAGAGAUCGGCCUUUCGUUCACUGCAUAAAUUAUGUGGUGUGUCCUGUGAGCUGCAUUCCAGAGCGAUGGUGGACUGGAGUGGCUGGCACGGAUGGCUGGCAUGAGCCGGCAAGCAUUCGCGUUCUGUCCGGGCAGACAUCAAGGUUUGCGGUCGCCGAGGGAUACACGGUUACACUGACACACACACAAAUUAAACUUUAGGUUAAGGAUUUA